GUUUUCUGCGGAGCUGGCAUUUGGGUUUGGAUUUAAAGGGCAAGAAGGAGCCAGACAAGCCAAGGUGUAAGAGAAGAGUCCUCCAAGCAGCAGGGAAGCAAGUGCAAAGGUCCUUGCAGAAGCGAGCUUGGCAUAUUAGAGGGACAGAGGGAGGCCGGAGCAACUGGAGGGUCUUCAGAGACUAUCAAGUGCCAACAAGGGGAUUACCCCUCUGCCCCUCUAAAGGAUUGCAAGAAAGAAGACACCAAAUCCAUGGCAUUUUUUCCCUUAGGAAAGAAGGGAGAUAAUGAGAAGCCUCCACUUGGUAUUCCUUGGAGCAGCUGGAAGCUAAAAACCAAAUGUGGGAACUGUGAAUCCUAUCUCUGGGAUAUGUUUUCUCAGGAAAUGGAGGAAAUGGGUGGGCACGGGUGGCAAAAUAUUCCAGGGGAAUACUUCUUCCUGGGCCUUGUGGGGAACAACUCCCAAAAGGCCAGUGGUUCUCAGCUUUAAGCCUGUGUUAGAAUCACCUGCAGGGCUUAUUAAAACACAGAUUGCCGGGCCUUACCCCCAGAGUUUGAUUUAGUAUUUCUGGGAGUUGGAUCUAUAAUUUGCAUUUCUGAAAGUUCCCAGGUGAUACUGAUGCUCCUGGUCCCAGGACCACAGACAAAUUCUCCUUCUUGUAGCCCCUCAUUCACUCUGCGUAGGAGGCAUGGCUCAUCUGGCUGGUGGGUUUGGGAGGAGGAGCAGACCAUGCUCAGUUAGCCCUCCCCACUCUCCCUUUCUCUCUCUCCCCAUCGCCCUAGCUGCAGAGCAUAUUCAGACAGCUCUCCAAUCAGUUCAUCAGUAAUAAAGGUGACAUGCUGAUCCUCAUCUGUUUUUCUCUUGCAUCUGCCAAUUGAUUCUGCACUUGAGAGGGGAAUAAGUAUAUUUAUUUAUUGGGUUUCCCUCAAAUUCCAACAGAGAAGUUGGUAUCAGUUGCAAAACAAUCAACUGGCAUCCGGGCCACACAGCAGCAUAGGAAUCUUGGUUUUAGCUUCCACUAAAAUAUCAAUUAUUUGAGGGCAAAAAAUGUCCAAUUCCUGGGCCUUUAAGAUAGGAAGUCAGGUCUGUGGAUGGGGUGAGGUCACCAGGAUGAGGUCACAAAGGCAUUGAUGCCCCUUUGUCCUAUCAUGUGACCACUUGUCACACUUCCAUCAAACAGUACCUGCCCCUUAGGUGUGCUAGGGAAUAAAUGAAAUGCCUGGGACAUCAUCGUUAAGUGGCAUCUGAUGCAUAAGCAGUGCCCUAGGAAUGGGGUUGCCUGCCUUGGUCUCUAAAGGAUGGGUUCAAAAGGCAAGAGCAGCACACAAGAAGAUAGCUUCAAGCAGGAGAUAAAGCUUGGCCCAGGGCCCAAAGGGGAUACGACCCUUCAGGUUGGCCCUGACCUCUGGGUUGGAUUACCAGUGACACAAUGAACAUUUCAUUAUGAGGCCAUCCCUUGAGCAAACUGACAUGCUGAAAGCUGCCCUAUGGAGAGGCUCAUGUGGCAAGGAACAGAGGGUGGCUUCUGGCCAACACCCAGUGAGGAACUCAGGCCCUCAGUCAAACAGCCUGCAAGGAACUGAACCCUGCCAAUAACCCCAGGAGCCAUCCCGUGAGGCCGUUACUGCAAACAAGCUGAAAAUCCUGCUUUGUUUCUUUUGGACACAACAUGCUUUCCUUCAGCUUCAGUAGACGAUGAGGCCAGCACCACAUGGGCUAGAUGUACAUGAGAUGUGAGCAACCACACUUCCCCUCUGACGGGGACAGACAGCAUCACAGGACAUGAAGUUCUAAGAGGUUCAGUGACUUGUCUAAGAUUAAACAGCUAUGAAUGGAGAACUGGAGGCAAAUGAGGAUUCCCCAUUAAUGCCAUGAGUUCACUGCAGAGGUCAACACUGGGCAUACACUUCAAUCAUCCAUAAAGAAAAAUGGAGGCCUCAUCAUCUCUCACCUGGGCAACUGCAACAAUGAGCAGUUUGUGUCUGUGCCUGCAUCCAUCCUUCCAUCCUGUACUCCAGCAGCAGCCAGGGUGGUCUUUCAAAAAUGCAAAGCUGAUAAUGUUACUCCCCUGCUGUAAACCUUCCAGCGGUUUCCUAUUGCCUUCAGAAUAAAAUACGAAUCAUCUGGCCUCCAUCUAUCUCUCCAGGCUCAUCCUCUCUCAAUUUUCCAUAUCCUUCAGGCUGAGCUCUGAAACUUCUCCUGGCAGUUCAAGAGAGCGAUGGAGGGAAUGCUGGGGCACAUCUAAAUAAAGCCUCCAAGUGGGAGUUCCUGCUCAGCUAUGCAUGAGCUCUUUGUGACUUCAUCUCCCAGCCUACAACUUGUGAAAUAAGCACGACUUCACUCAGAGCACAGCCAGAAACAUACAAACUUUCCAAAAAUAUUUGAAUGUUGACAGCAGACUGUCUUGCAUUCCAGUGAAUAAUUGGUUUGUAUGAGUGUGUGUGUGACCUAAAUCCACAGAACUUACCAUUCUGUGGCUAUAC
rnacentral:lncRNA from 10 species